rnacentral:rRNA from 1 species
UGGGGAAUAUUGGGCAAUGGGCGCAAGCCUGACCCAGCAACGCCGCGUGAAGGAAGAAGGCUUUCGGGUUGUAAACUUCUUUUAAGAGGGAAGAGCAGAAGACUGUACCUCUAGAAUAAGCCACGGCUAACUACGUGCCAGCAGCCGCGGUAAUACGUAGGGGGCAAGCGUUAUCCGGAUUUACUGGGUGUAAAGGGAGCGUAGACGGCAGCGCAAGUCUGAAGUGAAAGCCCGGGGCUCAACCCCGGAAUGGCUUUGGAAACUGUGCGGCUAGAGUACUGGAGAGGCAAUCGGAAUUCCUAGUGUAGCGGUGAAAUGCGUAGAUAUUAGGAGGAACACCAGUGGCGAAGGCGGAUUGCUGGACAGCAACUGACGGUGAGGCGCGAAAGUGUGGGGAGCAAACAGGAUUAGAUACCCUGGUAGUCCACACUGUAAACGAUGAAUACUAGGUGUGCGGGGACUGACCCCCUGCGUGCCGCAGUUAACACAAUAAGUAUUCCACCUGGGGAGUACGAUCGCAAGGUUGAAACUCAAAGGAAUUGACGGGGGCCCGCACAAGCGGUGGAUUAUGUGGUUUAAUUCGAAGCAACGCGAAGAACCUUACCAGGGUUUGACAUCCUGCUAACGAAGUAGAGAUACAUUAGGUGCCCUUCGGGGAAAGCAGAGACAGGUGGUGCAUGGUUGUCGUCAGCUCGUGUCGUGAGAUGUUGGGUUAAGUCCCGCAACGAGCGCAACCCCUAUUGUUAGUUGCUACGCAAGGGCACUCUAGCGAGACUGCCGUUGACAAAACGGAGGAAGGUGGGGACGACGUCAAAUCAUCAUGCCCCUUAUAUCCUGGGCUACACACGUAAUACAAUGGCGGUCAACAGAGGGAUGCAAAGCCGCGAGGCAGAGCGAACCCCUAAAAGCCGUCCCAGUUCGGAUCGUGGGCUGCAACCCGCCCACGUGAAGUCGGAAUCGCUAGUAAUCGCGGAUCAGCAUGCCGCGGUGAAUACGUUCCC